rnacentral:tRNA from 1 species
UGGGGCGUAGCCAAGCGGUAAGGCACCGGUUUUUGGUACCGGCAUCCCCUGGUUCGAAUCCAGGCAACCUCCUCAA